rnacentral:rRNA from 1 species
ACGAACGCUGGCGGCGUGCUUAACACAUGCCAGUCGAACGGAAAGGCCCUGCUUGCAGGGUACUCGAGUGGCGAACGGGUGAGUAACACGUGGGUGAUCUGCCCUGCACUUCGGGAUAAGCUUGGGAAACUGGGUCUAAUACCGGAUAGGACCGCACUUUAGUGUGUGUGGUGGAAAGUUUUUUCGGUGUAGGAUGAGCUCGCGGCCUAUCAGCUUGUUGGUGGGGUAAUGGCCUACCAAGGCGGCGACGGGUAGCCGGCCUGAGAGGGUGUACGGCCACAUUGGGACUGAGAUACGGCCCAGACUCCUACGGGAGGCAGCAGUGGGGAAUAUUGCACAAUGGGCGCAAGCCUGAUGCAGCGACGCCGCGUGGGGGAUGAAGGCCUUCGGGUUGUAAACUCCUUUCGCUAGGGACGAAGCUUUGUUGUGACGGUACCUAGAUAAGAAGCACCGGCUAACUACGUG